rnacentral:pre_miRNA from 1 species
AGGAAGUGGAGUAGAGGAUGAUAUGCCAAAAUGGCUUGAGUUCUAACCUUGAAUUGAGUUCCUUCACAAUAUUGUAACUGUUUUUCAUAUAGGUAGGUGUCUUCAAGUGUUGACAUGUGUCAAAGUGUCAACACAUGUCGUCAUGCGAUACCAACCAAAAAGUGAAGUGUUGUGGUGCCGUUGUGAUGAAGUAGAUUUAUCAUAUAUAGGUUUUUUAGAAGUAAUAUGGAAAUGGAAAUGUUUGGCCCCUCUUUAAUGUGAUCUUCUUGAUGGCAAUGUUACAACGACAUUCACCUUUUGAUUGGUGUCGCUUUUCGAUAUACGUUGACACUUUGAAAUGUGUCAACACUUGAGGACACUUGGCUGUAUAGAAAACAAACAAAAUUGUGGAAGGGCUCAUUGCAAUGUUUGAACUCAAACUAUUUUGACAUAUUGUCUUCUACUCUACCACCU